AUUGAACGCUGGCGGCAGGCCUAACACAUGCAAGUCGAACGGAUGAAUGGAGCUUGCUCCUGGAUUCAGCGGCGGACGGGUGAGUAAUGCCUAGGAAUCUGCCUGGUAGUGGGGGAUAACGUCCGGAAACGGGCGCUAAUACCGCAUACGUCCUGAGGGAGACAGUGGGGGAUCUUCGGACCUCUCGCUAUCAGAUGAGCCUAGGUCGGAUUAGCUAGUUGGUGGGGUAAAGGCCUACCAAGGCGACGAUCCGUAACUGGUCUGAGAGGAUGAUCAGUCACACUGGAACUGAGAAACGGUCCAGACACCUACGGGAGGAAGCAGUGGGGAAUAUUGGACAAUGGGCGAAAGCCUGAUCCAGCCAUGCCGCGUGUGUGAAGAAGGUCUUCGGAUUGUAAAGCACUUUAAGUUGGGAGGAAGGGCAGUAAGUUAAUACCUUGCUGUUUUGACGUUACCAACAGAAUAAGCACCGGCUAACUUCGUG
rnacentral:rRNA from 1 species